CAACGCCUGCCGUGUUAGUCAGCUUCUCCUUGUUUCGAACCUUGAUUGAAAAAAGGGAGUUCUAUAUUGAAUGUUAGACAGUAAGCCAACGUGACUUGGACACUGGAAGAGAUUCUGCGAACACCCACCUACGAGUGUAGGUUCAUGAAACAAUUGAAGCAACGGCAUACGCGGGUCACAC
rnacentral:other from 1 species